rnacentral:rRNA from 1 species
AAUGAACGCUGGCGGCAUGCCUAAUACAUGCAAGUCGAGCGGACGAACGAAGAGCUUUCUUCUCUGCAGUUACGGACGGACGAGUAAGUAACAGGUAGCUACCCGACAUAUAGGACUAGGGUACCUUCACGAGUGCUAAUAUCACACACGUCCAUAUUUUGAACCGCAUGGUUCAUCGGACAUCGACCUAUUAGAUGUCCCUCGGUCGGAUUAGCUAGUUGGUUUGGUAAAGGCUUACCAAGGCGACGAUCCGUAGCAGACCUGAGAGGGUGAUCGGCCACACUGGAACUGAGACACGGUCCAGACUCCUACGGGAGGCAGCAGUAGGGAAUCUUCCGCAAUGGGCGAAAGCCUGACGGAGCAACGCCGCGUGAGUGAUGAAGGUCUUCGGAUCGUAAAACUCUGUUAUUAGGGAAGAACAUAUGUGUAUGUAACCGUUGACGUCUUGACGGUACCAAAACAGAAAGCAACGGCUAACUACGUG